AAAAGAAACUAACAGGAUUCCCUAGUAACUGCGAGUGAAGCGGGAAAAGCUCAAAUUUAAAAUCUGGCGUGCCUCCGGUCGCCCGAGUUGUAGUCUGGAGAAGCGUCUUCCGUGCCGGACCGUGUACAAGUCCCUUGGAACAGGGCGUCAUAGAGGGUGAGAAUCCCGUCUUUGACACGGACUACCGGUGCUCUGUGAUGCGCUCUCAAAGAGUCGAGUUGUUUGGGAAUGCAGCUCAAAAUGGGUGGUAAAUUCCAUCUAAAGCUAAAUACAGGCGAGAGACCGAUAGCGAACAAGUACCGUGAGGGAAAGAUGAAAAGCACUUUGGAAAGAGAGUUAAACAGUACGUGAAAUUGCUGAAAGGGAAACGCUUGAAGUCAGUCGCGUCUGCCGGGACUCAGCCUUGCUUCUGCUUGGUGCANUUCUCGGUUGACGGGCCAGCNUCGAUUUUGGCCGCCGGAAAAAGGCGGAGGGAAUGUGGCACUUCCGGGUGUGUUAUAGCCCUCCGUNGUAUNCGGCGGCCGGGAUCGAGGACCGCNGCACGCCUUCUGGCCGGGGUUCGCCCACGUACGUGCUUAGGAUGCUGGCGUAAUGGCUUUAAGCGACCCGUCUUGAAACACGGACCAAGGAGUNUAACANGCCUGCGAGUGUUUGGGUGGAAAACCCGAGCGCGUAAUGAAAGUGAUAGUUGAGACCUCUGUCGUGGAGGGCAUCGACGCCCGGACUUGAUCUNCGGAGACGGUUCCGCGGUAGAGCAUGUAUGUUGGGACCCGAAAGAUGGUGAACUAUGCCUGAAUAGGGUGAAGCCAGAGGAAACUCUGGGGAGGCNNNNAGCGAUUCUGACGUGCAAAUCGAUCGUCAAAUUUGGGUAUAGGGGCGAAAGACUA
rnacentral:rRNA from 1 species